AAGACAAGCUGAAAUGCAAGAACCUGUAGACUGAGGCCUGCAAGACUUUAGCUUUGCUAUUUAAGGCCUUGGAGACAAGAAACGAUGGCAUAAGUAACCGGAAAAUAACCUGAUGUCCUAAGAUUACGGGAAAAGAGAAUUUUGGCCGAAAGAUGGUCGAAGCCCAGAGUACCUGUUCUUUUCAAUAAUGCAGCUGAUUCUCCCAGGGAGAUGUUUAAGGCGAAUACAAGUACCUUUAAA